UGGGGAAUUUUGGACAAUGGGCGCAAGCCUGAUCCAGCCAUGCCGCGUGCGGGAAGAAGGCCUUCGGGUUGUAAACCGCUUUUGUCAGGGAAGAAAUCUUCUGAGUUAAUACCUCGGGAGGAUGACGGUACCUGAAGAAUAAGCACCGGCUAACUACGUGCCAGCAGCCGCGGUAAUACGUAGGGUGCAAGCGUUAAUCGGAAUUACUGGGCGUAAAGCGUGCGCAGGCGGUUUUGUAAGACAGAGGUGAAAUCCCCGGGCUCAACCUGGGAACUGCCUUUGUGACUGCAAGGCUUGAGUGCGGCAGAGGGGGGAUGGAAUUCCGCGUGUAGCAGUGAAAUGCGUAGAUAUGCGGAGGAACACCGAUGGCGAAGGCAAUCCCCUGGGCCUGCACUGACGCUCAUGCACGAAAGCGUGGGGAGCAAACAGGAUUAGAUACCCUGGUAGUCCACGCCCUAAACGAUGUCAACUGGUUGUUGGGAAGGUUCCUUCUCAGUAACGUAGCUAACGCGUGAAGUUGACCGCCUGGGGGAGUACGGCCGC
rnacentral:rRNA from 1 species